CUUCCAGUAGCACCUUAGAGACCAACUAAGUUUGCUAUUGGUAUGAGCCAUACCAGUAACAAACUUAGUUGGUCUCUAAUGUGCUAUUGGAAG